GCCAAUAUGACUGAACUCCAGUUUUUGUAGUUACUGCUGCCACUGCCGCCGCCGCUGGGGCUGCUGGUACUAGUGCCGCUGAGGAAUGAUUCUUCACACCACCACUGGCAACAGAACUUCUGCCCUUUAAGCAGAGCAGUGCUCAAGGAAUGUUUACAGCUAAGGAGACUCCACAGAGGAUUGCCUGAAGGACAUGAAGUCCAUUCAUCUCUUCAGAUAGUUUAGAUUACAACUCAGGAUCAAGGUAACCCAUCCAAACUAAACACUUGACCCA
rnacentral:lncRNA from 1 species